AUACCUUUCUCGGCCUUUUGGCUAAGAUCAAUUGUAGUAGCUAUUCUUAUUAGUUUAGUAACAAAAUUAGCAAAGUAAAAAUCGGACUUCAA
rnacentral:snRNA from 1 species